GUAUAAAGGUGGUGUUCAUGGUCCAUACAUUUCUGAAAGCUAGGAUAGUCUGACCACCAACAGAAAGGAAAAGAACAUGAAUCUCCUCUGUGCAAUAGCAAUACUCCCGGUGAUUCUUGUGGCCUUACUAGAUACUAUACCGCUGGCAAGUGCAUCGUCUCUGAUGAAUCACAGCCAGCCAUCCAUGGCAACGCUCGCGAGCUGCCCCAAGAGUUGUGGGCAGAUGAGCAUCCACUACCCCUUCGGAAUCGGAGCAGGCUGCUUCCGUCAGCCUGACUUCAACCUCAUCUGCGACAACUCCACUCAGCCCCCAAAGCUCCUCUUGCAUGACGGCGUAACCGAGAUCAUCGGGGAUACAGAUUCCAGUUUUGACAUGGACGUGGGCUCAACGGAGUCAAUCGAUGUCAACAUUUCCUCCACCAUCCCUAUGCUAUCUAGCAUCUCUCAUUACAACUAUUCUUGGAAUCUCAGUUCUUUUUCUAUCGAAUAUGUUAUUCUGAACAUUACUGGGUGCAACUUCGACACAUAUAUCAUUAACCCCGACACCGAUAUUCGCACAAGGAUCUGCAGGAACAGUUGCCCCAAGGAAGAAAUCACAGAAGCAGUGGCUCGACAAAGCUGUAAUGGUACUGGAUGCUGCACAUAUGAUAUUUACGGUGUUGCUAACUUGCAGCUCAGUUUCGUCCGUGGGGAUGAAGGUUUACUUGGAGGGAACUCUAGUCGAAACUCCUUAUGGAACAUAAUCAACAUAAGAAGCUGGUACGCCUAUGUCACGUGGAGCAUAAUCGAUCAACCGACAUGUGCUAGUGCAAAGGAUAACCGAACGGAUUACGCAUGUGUGAGCGCCAACAGUACAUGCAUAGACAGCUUCAAUUCUAUGGAAUAUCUUGGCUACCUUUGUUAUUGCAGCAGUGGUUUCAUAGGCAAUCCUUACGUACUUCAUGGAUGCACACGUGACGAAGGAUAUUAUCCAGUUCAACAAAAGGCAAACUGCUCCCGACGGUGUGGGAAUAUCAGUGUUCCAUUUCCUUUUGGGCUAGAGGAAGGCUGCGCUGCAAGAAAACUAUUUCAACUCAAUUGCACAAAUGUGACAUCUUCUACACUCCAAUUUGACCGCGGUCAUGUUGUGACAGACAUAGAUUUUGCAGAAGGGGUUGUUGGCAUCAAACUUGCCUCAUAUUUCGAAGAGCAGGAGUUCAGUAUGUAUAGAUCAGGAGAACCUGACCUAUAUGCAAGUUUUGGAGAAGCAGUGAUCUCUGUGCAUUGGGCUGCUGCUAAUCUAACAUGUCAAGAGGCCCAGAAGAACCACUCUCGAUAUGCAUGUGUCAGUGCAAACAGCACAUGUUUAGGUGUCGACUCUACUUAUGGUUAUGUUGGAUACCAGGUGCAAAUGCAUGGAUGGUUUUCAUGGAAAUCCAUACGUCGUUAAUGGUUGUGAAGAUAUUGACGAGUGCAAGAAAACACCUGGCAUCUGCAAAGGCAUAUGCCACAAUGACAUUGGGAGUUACCAUUGCAUGGAGUGCCCAGACAAAACAGAGUAUGAUGUGACAGCUAUGCAGUGUGUCUCAAGAAAAAAACAAAAUCUUCUGAUAGGUAUUGUAAUUGGACUUAGUGUUGGAUUCACCGUUCUACUCUUUGUAUUGGGUGGGAUGCUUCUUCUUCGUAGAUGGAAAAGGGACAUUCAAAGACAACUACGAAGAAAUUACUUUCGAAAAAAUCAAGGUCUUCUAUUAGAACAACUGAUAUCAUCUGACGAAAAUGCGAGCGACAAGACAAAAAUUUUCUCCUUGGAAGAGCUUGAAAAGGCGACAAAUAAUUUUGACCCCACACGUAUCCUCGGACGUGGAGGGCAUGGCAUGGUAUACAAAGGAAUCUUAUCUGAUCAACGUGUGGUAGCCAUAAAAAAGUCAAAGAUAAUUAAGCAAGAUGAAAUUGAUAAUUUUAUCAAUGAGGUUGCCAUCCUCUCUCAAAUAAAUCAUCGUAAUAUUGUAAGGCUUUUUGGAUGUUGUCUUGAAACUGAGGUCCCACUACUUGUUUAUGACUUUAUUCCAAAUGGUUCAUUAUUUGGAAUUCUCCAUGCUGAUGCACGUAGUAGUUUUCGGUUAUCUUGGGAUGACUGCUUAAGAAUUGCCACUGAGGCAGCAGGAGCACUCUGUUAUCUUCAUUCAGCAGCUUCAGUAUCAGUCUUUCAUCGUGAUGUGAAGUCAGCUAACAUACUUUUAGAUGCAAACUGCACAGCCAAAGUUUCAGAUUUUGGUGCUUCGAGAUUGGUUCCCAUUAAUGAAACCCAUGUUGUUACAAAUGUACAAGGCACCUUUGGCUACUUAGAUCCAGAAUACUACCACACCGGGCAAUUGAAUGAGAAAAGCGACGUCUACAGCUUUGGAGUUGUACUUAUUGAGCUACUACUUAGGAAGGAACCUAUUUUUACAAGUGAAACAGGUAUGAAGCAAAACUUGUCGAACUAUUUUCUUUGGGAAAAAAAGGUGAAGCUAAUUAGGGAUAUAGUGGCUGAUCAAGUUCUUGAGGAAGCAACCGAGGAAGAAAUUAACAAUGUUGCCUCUCUUGCGGAAGAUUGCUUGAGUCUACGACGGGAUGAAAGACCUACUAUGAAGCAAGUUGAGUUGGCACUACAGUUUUUGCUAAACAAAAGGUUGAAUUCAUACCGCACUGUUGAAGCAAACAAGGAAGAGAUGGAUCCCUUUAUUAUGACAAAAGUUCAACAUAGCACUGAGAAUUCAAAUGUUGAAUUUCUGAGCAAUAAAGCAACUAUAUCGUCCUAUCAGCCUGGCUUGGAGCACGAGUUUAUGUCAUCUGCCACUAUACCACGCUAGAAUUUAUUCAGUUUCCAGUUCUGUGCUAGGCCAUGAUGCCUGUUGUUUCUCUUGACAAUGUGAGAUAAUGUACCUUCAAUAUACUGCACGUUUUAAUUUGAAGUACACUUGUAAUAAGGCAAAAUACUGUGUAAAAAAUUAUUUAAUUUUAUAAAGUUAUUCCGGUGGAAUGGACAUGAAUACUCAACUAC